rnacentral:rRNA from 1 species
GGAACUGAGACACGGUCCAAACUCCUACGGGAGGCAGCAGUGAGGAAUAUUGGUCAAUGGACGAGAGUCUGAACCAGCCAAGUAGCGUGCAGGAUGACGGCCCUAUGGGUUGUAAACUGCUUUUAUAAGGGAAUAAAGUGAGUCUCGUGAGACUUUUUGCAUGUACCUUAUGAAUAAGGACCGGCUAAUUCCGUGCCAGCAGCCGCGGUAAUACGGAAGGUCCGGGCGUUAUCCGGAUUUAUUGGGUUUAAAGGGAGCGUAGGCCGGAGAUUAAGCGUGUUGUAAAAUGUAGAUGCUCAACAUCUGAACUGCAGCGCGAACUGGUUCCCUUGAGUACGCACAAAGUGGGCGGAAUUCGUGGUGUAGCGGUGAAAUGCUUAGAUAUCACGAAGAACUCCGAUUGCGAAGGCAGCUCACUGGAGCGCAACUGACGCUGAAGCUCGAAAGUGCGGGUAUCGAACAGGAUUAGAUACCCUGGUAGUCCGCACGGUAAACGAUAGAGGCCCGCUGUUGGUCUGAAUAGGUCAAGCGGCCA